AUUGAACGCUUGCGGCAGGCCUACCACAUGCAAGUCGACCGAGUGGCGGACGGGUGAGUAAUGUCUGGGAUACUUCCCGCUGGAGGGGGCUAACUACUGGAAACGGUAGCUCCUACCGCCUACCAUCGGAUGUGCCCAGCUGGGAUUAGCUAGUAGGUGGGGUCACGGCUCACCUAGGCGACGAUCCCUAGCUGGUCUGAGAGGAUGACCAGCGACACGGGAACUGAGACAGGGUCCAGACUCCUACGGGAGGCAGCAGUGGGGAAUAUUGCACAAUGGGCGAAAGCCGGAUGCAGCCAUGCCGCGUGUGUGAAGAAGGCCUUCGGGUUGUAAAGUACUUUAAGCGAGGAGGCGUUACUCGCAGAAGAAGCACCGGCUAACUCCGUGCCAGCAGCCGCGGUAAUAC
rnacentral:rRNA from 1 species